GGCGGGCGCCGGGGCGGGGACCGGAGCCGGGCAAGGCUCCCGUCAGGGGCCGGCGGGCGGGCGCGCGCGGGGCGCCGUAGGGGGACCCGCGGCGGCCGGGGGCGACGAGCUGCCUUGGGCCCGCCGCUCACGGGGAGGCGCCUUCCCGAGCCCAUGCCCGUGCCCAGCAGCGGCCGGUGAGCGGCAGCGGCGGCGGCUGCUCCUCGUCGUUGUCGUCGUCGUCGCCCGGAAGGCGGCCGCCCCCAUCUCCCCCCGCGCCGCAGGGUCUGUCACUGCGGGCCCCAGGCCGGCCGUUACCCAGGGCCGCGGGCGCGGCGUCGCAGCCUAGGGAGCGAUGGGGGCCGCGGCCGCGGAACGGGCGCUGGAGGGGGAGGGACGCAAGGCGGCAGUCGCGGAGGGAUCCUGCCGGGACUUGCCGGCCUUGCUGCUCCCGCGCGGCGGACGGGCGGCGGACGGGCGGCGGCGGCGACGGCGACGACGGCAGAGCAGGCACCGGCCGAGGAGCAGAGGGAUCGUCGCGCUCGCGGCUGACGGGCGGCCGGGACCAGCAGAAGUGGGCGGGGUGGCCGCCUCUCCGGGCAGCCCGGGCCGGCCGGGCCCACCCUCCCCCCUCCCUAGCUGAUUGGCUCAGGCGGCCCGUUCUCCGCCCGUGAUUGUGCCGGGUCCCCAAUCCCAUUCGCCCAUGCCGCGGCCACGCCGCCCUGGGGGGCUAUGGAUCAUAUUGGAGCCACCGCCUCUAGUCUCUCGGCGGCCGUCAGGACGCGAUUGGUCCGCGGAGAGCAGAGAGGCGGAAAACCCGGGCUGGAUUUCUGGUGGCUUUUGUUCCCGCAAAUUUACGUGGAGCAUUGUUUUUGGGCGAAAACGGGGCCUUCGGCCUUCCUGCUUUAUUCCUGAGCGGUGUAAGAGGGAGGUAGUGGGUAUCUUCGAGAAACGGCCGCCGCGGGGUCCGGAGCCCCGGGUUCCAAUCCCGGGUCGGCCACUGCUAAGCUGUGUGACCUUGGGAUAUGAUCCAAGGUGCUGAAAACUUCCUAACAAAACUCUUCAGCCGAAUCUGGCACGCCUAUGGUUCCAGCUACUGGGUAGACUGAGGCAGGAGGAUCGCUUGAGGCCAAGAGUUCAAGGCCAACCUGGGCAACAUGGUGAGACCCCCCCCUCCCCCCCAGUCUCUCCAAAACAAACAAACCCCACAUUCUCCAGUCUUAGGUCUUCAAGGAUGAACAGACAUUGCAGAAAGGCACGGUUGGGAACAGAAAAAAAUGAUCUCCACUCCCCCAGCCCCCUCCACACCUUGGGCACAUUUCCCUGGAGCCGCCCGAGUGUUCUUUGUCAGUGUAGGAAGAAGCAAAAAUCUAAAUGGAGUCAGGAUGGCCUCCCACAUGGGCACAAGGACAAGGCUGGGGACAGUUGGGUCUCCUCAUCUUAUUUCCCAGGUCUAGGCUGAUUUCUAUUAAUAAUUAAAUUAAUCGUUGUUCUCCUGGACCUCACUUCUUAAUGUGAUUCCAGGAAACUGGCCACAUUCCAAAAUUCAUAAUCUAAGGUAGUGAAAUAACGUGAGCAUCAAGACAGUUUGGCUGGGCUCAGAGGCUCACAUCUGUAAUCCCAGUACUUUGGGAGGCCGAGGGUAGAUCCCUUGAGCCCAGGAGUUCGAGACCAGCCUGGGCAACAUGGCGAAAUCCCAUCUCUACAAAAAAUACAAAAAUUAGCCAGAUGUGGUGGCAUGUGCCUGUAGUCCCAGUUACUUGGGAGACUGCGGUGGAAGGAUUGCCUGAGCCCAGGAAAGGGAGGUUGCGGUGAAUGGGGAUCCCACCACUGCACUCCAGCCUGGGUGACAGCGUAAGACUCUGUCUCAAAAACAAAAGAUUCAUUUCUUAUUGAUAAAGCAAGCUCCUUGGAGAAAGAUCUUGGAACCUCAUUGGGAGUGGAGGUGGGGCUUCUUCAAUCCAGCCGAGCUGGCUGUGAAACCCCCAGGGUUUGGUACCAAGUGAGCUCCAGUCCCAGCUGUGGCUGACUGUGUGAACUUGGCUAUGCAUUCAAGGGCCUCUGAGCCUCAGUUUCCUCAUCUGUAGAAGAGAGCCAGGAACCCGUCAUCCUGGCUAGCAGUGGAAGUCAAAGGUGCUCAUGGAAAGAAUGUCCUUGCUGGCUGGAACAAGGGAGGCCUGAGCUGUGGAAGUCCUUGGAUCAAGGUCCUCCCCACUUCCCGCUGCCUUUUUGGUCCUUCUUGCGUGCUCUUUGUGAUUUAAUGGCUUAGUAGGUUGAAUCAUGUCCCCCCAAAGUUUAUCUCUACCCCAAAUCUCAGAAUGUGACCUUAUUUGGAAAAAGAGUCUUUGCAGAUAAUUAAGGUAAGAGUCAAGAUAAAAUCACACUGAAUUAUGGUGAGCCCUACAUGCAAUGAGACAGUCCUUACAAGAUACAGAAAAGAACACAUAGAGACUUCGGGGGAAAGGAGACUAUGUGCAAGGAUGGCAGAGAUUGGAGCCGAGGGGUGCCUGGGCCUACCAGAGGCUGCAAGAGACAGGGAGGACCCUCCCCUAGAGCCUCCAGGGGGAACAGCCCUGCCCACACCUUGACUUUGGACUCCUGGCCUCCAGAACUGUGAGAGGACCUAGGACCCUACGAGAGGAGGGAUCUGGAGGCCAGGACAGGAGCAGGACAACACAAACAGAGGCCUCAGAAGAAGACUCAGAGUGGGACAGGGGUUCCUUAAGUGACGGGGGCUGGAAGUGCACAGAGAAGCCUGGUGCAGCAGGGAAUUUUCUCUCCCUGGGGUGCUGCCAAGGUGUCUGUUGCUUGCCAGCUUUUCCAGCCAUGACUGCAGACAAAGUCCACCUAGAGUCAUAAAUGGGCAAUCAGCCCCGAACAACGUCCAGCCCCGGUUUCUGCACGGCGAGGCGUUUUUGUCCGUGGCAGACCUGCUUACCCGGGUGUCUUUGGUGUGGGGCUAGAUGCAGCAUUUCCCCAGUGGGAAUGGCCUGGGGUCUUAUUUAAAGUGGAGGGUCCUAGGCCUGGCCCCACGUAUGGAGUCAGGAUCCCUAGGGGUAGGACCUUGGAAUCCGCAUUUUUUUUGAGACAGGGUCUCACUCUGUCACCCAGGCAGUGGCACGAUCUCAGCUCUCUGAAACCUCCACCUCCUGGUUCAAGCGAUUCUCCUGCCUCGGCCUCCUGAGUAGCUGGUAUUACAGGCACGCACCACCAUGCCUGGCUAAUUUUCUAUGUUUUUAGUAGAGAUGGGGUUUCAUCAUGUUGGCCAGGCUGGUCUCCAACUCCUGACCUCAAGCCAUACACUGGCCUCGGCCUCCCUAAGUGCUGGGAUUACAGGUACGAGCCACCGUGCCUGGCCAGGAAUCUGCAUUUUUGCUAGUAACCCUGGUCAUCUCAGUGCACACCAAAGUUUGAAACCACUGUUGGGGUGUGGAGUUCUUGCUUCCAGACUUCCAGGGCCUAUGGAUUGAACAACAGCAGCCACAGUAGUAAUUAGAAUUUUCAGUCUGAACCACAAGCCUGCCAUGCAACAAGGGUUUCCUCCCGUUUUACAGAUGAGGGACCUGAGGCUUCAUAAGGCUGUUAUUGACCUGAGGUCGCACAGCUGAUGGCUCCUGGGUUCUUAGCGUUAAGUUUUGCAGCCUUAUUUCUGUUGUAUAUUUGUUUCUCAUCUUUCUGUGUUUAUUGCACUGCAAUUGUGAUAUCCUCUAAAAGCCAAGGAUGAACUCACUGCUGACCUUGGUUUUAUUCGUUUGUUUAUUUUCACCUUUUCUUGUGAAAUGUGCAAACAUACUCAAAAGUCAAGAGAAUCAUAUGGUGAUUUCUCAUAGUCCCCUUUGGCCAGCUUCAGCAAAGAUGACAUUUUGCCACUCUUAUUCCAUCCAUUUCUGUCACGCCACCCCUGACAUACACACAUGUUCUUUCUGGAGUAUUUUCAAGCAAAUACAGGAUUUUUAAAAACAUGUAAA
rnacentral:lncRNA from 1 species